AGGGCCAGUCUUCCUCAGCAAAAAGAGGAGGAUUGGCAGUAGUUAGCUCAGGGCUAAUCUUCCACACACACACACAAAAAAAUGCAGGCUAGGGCCAGUACCCAGAGGGGCAGGGGGCUCAGGCAGGGCACGGUGCCUGGCAAGACUCAUCCCCUGAGCCAGAGGGGCUGCUCCAUAGCCAGUUACGCAGCUGUGUCUUCCACAGCCUUGGGUCCAAGCAGCUCCUUAAUGGGUUCACAGGCCUCACUCACCAAUGCAGCCUGCCAGGGAGGGCUCUGCAGGGGCCCAGAAAUAGUGAGGCAACACCCUGGGACAGCAGCUCUCAACAUGGGGCCCUGGGUCACUGCAGAAGACCCACAAGCAUAAAAGCAUUUCUUUUGGGAAAAGAGGACUUUCAUCUUUCUCCUGGUAGAAGCUGGGAUCUGUGGGGUUUUGGUGAUGGGCUGUCUAGUGGUCCACAGAGCCCUUGAGGUUCCGACACAAGUGUCUUUGGGGACAUGAAGAACUCUUUACCAUUCUGGGAGAGUGAUGAGAUUCAUGUCCCCAGCCCCUCCCUUCAGCAUGAGUCUUAGUUGUGCCCCCAGAGAACCAGCUUUUUUGGGGCUCUCCCAGGAAAACCAUCACCAAAACAUCUGCUAAACAAAUCAACUGUUCUGCCUCAAUACUCUUACAGGCCUCUUUGUUGAGCCUGGGAUGUAUUCUCCACUCACCACCAUCCUACCCAUAUAUCAGGCCCAGUUCUAAUUCUGGAUCUUCCAGGAAGCCCACAAAAAUCUUUCUAACCCAUAGCAAUUAGCUCUUACUUAAAACACAUGGCUAUGCCGCCAUUUUCUUUCUGGAUAGCUCUUAUUCUAUGACUUUCUUUGUUAACAUCUGUCUUUAUUUUAAUUUUUUCCCUUGUGGAUGUUGGUCUCCUCCAUCUUUUCCAUUUCUUGCUUCCAACUAGUCACUAAAGCUUGUUGGUUGUACCUCUCAAAGAUAUCUCAAAUCCAUCAACCACCUUUCAGGGCCAUUUUCUGGUGUGGGCCACCAUCACUGCAACAGCCUCCUAAGUGAUCUCCUGUUUCUGGACCUGCCCCUCCAGUCCAUUCUCCACACUGAGGCUAGAGAACUCUUUCUAAAACACAAAUCUGCUUCAAGUCCUUUAUCCCACUGGCCUCAAGAUAAAUAUAAACUCUCCAACAGGCCUUUCAAAGCCUUUCAUUUACUGAUUCCUGCCUACCUUUCUAGUCACGUUUCUCUCCAUUCCCCUACCCCCUCUGCCAUCACCAGCACUGAGGCCUGCCACACUCUUGGUCAUGAUAAGCCUUCUCAGCUCCUUACACACACGUUCCCUUGUACAUUCUAUCUGGAAUACUCUUCCUUCCCACUCUCUGUGCCCCUUACACAGUGCCUGCUUGGCCUACACAUACUCAGUCUUCAGGUCUCCGAUGUUAUCUCACCCACUAAGCCUUGAACCCCCCACAUCCCAUUCUAGGUGACAUAUGCAGAGUACCUUGUCCCCUCCUCAUCACUGCAUUUUUUUUUUUUAAAGAUUUUAUUUUUUUCCUUUUUCUCCCCAAAGCCCCCCGGUACAUAGUUGUAUAUUGUUCAUUGUGGGUCCUUCUAGUUGUGGCAUGUGGGACGCUGCCUCAGCGUGGUUUGAUGAGCAGUGCUAUGUCCGCGCCCAGGAUUCGAACCAACGAAACACUGGACCACCUGCAGCGGAGCGCGCGAACUUAACCACUCAGCCACGGGGCCAGCCCCCUCAUCACUGCAUUUUUAAUUCCACUUUAUAUUUGCCUGUUUACUGGUCUCUGUCCCCUACUAGACUAUAAGUAAUUUCAGAGCAGGAACCAUAUCUGUCCAAUUUACUGUUGUAUUUCCUGUGCUGAGCCCAGUGUUUGCCUCUCGUUGAUGCUCAAGAAGUAAUUUUUGAAUGAAUGACUGGAAAGAAGAAUGAGUCCAUACAUCCAAAUCCUCCAGGGCAACAACCGUUUCUUAUGCUUCCCGGUAGCUCCCUUCAGUGCCUAAGUCAGGAUCCUAUGUAUUCUACAUGCAAAGGAAAGGAGGUAAUUAUUUACUUUUGGCAAAAAGGGCUUAUUAUUUAAAUAACAUGUUUGUCUACUUCUUGAUCUUUCCCUCUCUCCAUGCUGAAGGCUUUUUGAACUGCACGCUGACAGGAAUGCAGCUGACAACAUGGUGACUCAGAUCUGCCUCCAGGGGUGCUGGGUAAGCAGGGUCCCCAGCCAGGAUUGGGAGGCCCACAGAAUUCAAGGCCUCCAGAACCUGAAUGGGCCACUCACCAAGGAGAAGCAGGAAAAAGAUUCGAUGGGGUCCAGACACACAAGUUGUAGUCCCGACUCCUUCACAAAUCAGCUACGUGACCACAGGCAAAUCACCUAGUCUUUCUGGAGUUCACUUUCCUCUUUGGUAAAAUGCAAUAAGGAGAAGGACUGAUAAUUUAUCUUCACUUACAGCUCUGAGUUAUCAUUCUAUGAAAAACAUGUGUCAGCAUGUUCCUACCACAGGUGAAGAAGAAUAGGGCUAUUUCCAAUCUAAAGAUCAGCAUAUCCAUACCAUUUCAAAGUCACAUGUAACCAAGCCGAAUCCUAACUGAUAAAGUAAUCAUCUAUUUUAUGCAAGACUCUGUGCUAGAUACUGCAGGGGAUGCAAAGGUACAUAGGAUUUAGACUCACAAAGACCUGGGCAGGAAGGUUCUGUCUAGGUAUGAAGGGAAUGCUAAGAAAAGUUUGGAUUGGCAGGACCAUAUGGGCCUGAAGAGGAGUUACGGGAGAUGAGGCCAGGGAAUAUGAUGGAAGGAGCUUGAGUGCCAGGCUAAUGAGGUUAAAUGUAAUCCAGUGACAAACAGAGCAGACAACCUUGCCCUCAGUUUGCAAAUGAAGAAACCCAGGGCUCAGUAGGUUACAGGAUGUGUCCAGGGUCAUCCAGCCAGGGAGCGGCAGAGCCAAUCUCAGUUCUCCUGACACUUGGCCCAGUGCCAUCCCGCAGUCCUAUUCUGCCUUUGAGAGAAUCUGGGACAGGAAGGGUAGGAAUGGAGAUUUUACACUUUGACACCACCAGGGAACUGGACUGUGGUCCCCUAGUUCCCCCAAACCUCCAUCAGGAAGCUCCAAGUGUUGCCAGAAGCCCAGGAUCCAGACCUACCUUUAAGUCAGAGGACCCUUCCUGGGCCCCCUGCUCAGACAUCCCAUGAGACUACAGUGGCCAGGGUACUACUUCACUAUGUAGUAAGUGCCCAUAUGUCAGGCACAGUGCUGUGUGCUCUACAACAUUAUCUAAUUUACUGCCCUCGAUAGCCUAGCAAGAAAGUUGUAACACCACCCCUCUCUUACAGAUGAAGAUGAAGAAACUGAGGCUCAAAGAAAUGAAGCCACCUACUCAAAAUUACUCAGUUGAUGUCAAAGUUGAGGUACAAAGCCAUGUUUGUUCAACACCAAAGACCUGUUCUUAGCCCCACCUUCUGACAUCUUCCCAUUCCCUGACAAAGCAUGGAGCAGUCUCCUGUUCCCCCUCAGGCUCUAAGGACUUACCUAGUUUGAUGGGUUGACCAGCACCAAAACCUCCUGCCAGAGUCCAGUUGUGCACAUUCCACUUACAGUCAGGAGCCAGUGUCCUAUCUAGGAAUUGCAUCACCCAUGCCCUGCACAUGACCCCUCAUGAGUGAGGGAUCUCCUGGGGAGAGGGUGGGCUCACGGAUGCCCAGACCUCUGCAGCCUCAGGCCUCCCAGCAUUCUCAGUCUUGGCUGAUCAUGGGGCAAGGGUGUCAGAAUCCUCCCAUUCCAGGUUCUAGAGUUCACAGAUUCCAGUGAGCUGUUUCAUGGGAUCAGGGACACUUCAUUCUUGGUACCCUUCCUGUGGCUGUCAGGGUUAGAAUGCAUUUGUUAUGACUUGAGCUAACAUUCUUUCAAUAAACAACUGGUCGUUGGAA